AUGAAGCAGCAGGUUUUGAGCAAUGCCCAUGGCGGCAGGAUCUCCUCGCCAUCGGUGGCCGCGCGAACCAGGGUUCCAAGAGCAGCAGCAGCAGCAACACCCAUCAAGGAAGCUCCUUCGUCUCCAGCUCCGGCACCCGCCACCCCUCCUCGGGCCAGAAGGCUUGUGAGGGUGAGCAGCAAGGAGGAGAGGGUGGUGACUGGUGCAGCUGCAAAGCCAAAGAGGCACAAGGAGGAUUCCGAGGAGGAGACGCGCAAGCUGCGUGGGGAGGUGGAGGCCCUGAGGAAGGAGGUGGAGAGGCUGCAGCUGCUCAACACCGAGCUGGAAUGUGACAAGAGCGACCUGACGCACCAGCUCGCCCUUGCGCGCUGCACCAUCACCCGACUUCAGGAGCAGCAUGACAUCUAUCAGGCGCAGACCGCUGUGGCGCAACGAAACAACCUAAAAGACAGUGCCAUGAGCAAACCACAGCCUCCGAAGCCCCCCUCACCGCCGCCGCCACCACCACCUAGUAAAAUCCUCGGAAGAGCCCCGGCACCGCCUCCUCCCCCUCCGCAACGUGGCACAAUAGGCACAGUGAACAAGGCAACCGCGUUAGUUGAGAUGUACAACUCCCUGAACAAGCGUGACACCAAGAAAGCUGUGACUGUCAGUGCUGCUCAUCACAACAGCAUCGUCGGCGAGCUACAGAACCGCUCCACGCACUUAUUGGCGAUCAAGACGGAUGUCGAAACAAAAGGAGACUUCAUCAAUGGUCUCAUUAACAAAGUUCAGACCACUACUUACACCGAUGUGGAGCAAGUGCUGACCUUUGUUGAUUGGCUUGAUCAACAACUUUCAACUCUGUCGGAUGAAACAGGCGUGUUGAAGCACUUCAGUUGGCCGGAGAGGAAAGCUGAUGCACUCCGGGAAGCAGCGUUUGAAUACCGGGAUCUCAAGUGUGUCGUAACAGAGAUCUCUUCCCUGAACGCCGACGAUGGCAGCCCUACUUCGUGUGAGGCUACUCUGAGGAAGAUAUCAAGCCUGCUGGAUAAGUUGGAGAAGAGCAUGAAGAGAUUAGUGAACCUGAGGAGCUCGGUGAUGCCGUGCUAUAAACAGUUUGGAAUUCCGACUGAAUGGAUGCUUGAUUCAGGGAUUGCUUCGAAGAUGAGGGUGGCAUCAGUAACACUGGCAAAGGUGUACAUGAAAAGAGCCCUCAAGGAAAUAACAGCUUAUACAGGAGGAGGGAAUGAGGCUGCUCUUGUCGCUCAAAGCGUGCGUUUCACAUAUAGGGUUCACCAGUUUGCGGGAGGACUCGACAGUGAAGCGAUGCGCGCCUUUGAAGAGCUAACGCAACGUUCUCGGUUGACUGCUGUUUAG
rnacentral:rRNA from 1 species